rnacentral:rRNA from 1 species
GACGAACGCUGGCGGCGUGCCUAAUACAUGCAAGUAGAACGCUGAAGGAGGAGCUUGCUCUUCUGGAUGAGUUGCGAACGGGUGAGUAACGCGUAGGUAACCUGCCUGGUAGCGGGGGAUAACUAUUGGAAACGAUAGCUAAUACCGCAUAAGAGUAGAUGUUGCAUGACAUUUGCUUAAAAGGUGCAAUUGCAUCACUACCAGAUGGACCUGCGUUGUAUUAGCUAGUUGGUGGGGUAACGGCUCACCAAGGCGACGAUACAUAGCCGACCUGAGAGGGUGAUCGGCCACACUGGGACUGAGACACGGCCCAGACUCCUACGGGAGGCAGCAGUAGGGAAUCUUCGGCAAUGGACGGAAGUCUGACCGAGCAACGCCGCGUGGGUGAAGAAGGUUUUCGGAUCGUAAAGCUCUGUUGUAAGAGAAGAACGAGUGUGAGAGUGGAAAGUUCACACUGUGAC